GCCGGCGGCACCCCCAAGGGGCUCCGGGCACACGGACCGGGGUGUCCGCUCCCCCAGCACCGGCCCCCUCCGAGAUGCACCGGGGCAAAGCAGCUCCGCACAGCUUGCGGGAGAAAAGCAAUUUGGAAAGAAAAAAAGAAAUGUUAAUAAAGGCAAGAAGCUGUAAAGCUGAGGUCUAGGUGACUGCAUCUGUCAGCAAACAUACCAGGUGUUGUUGUAGAGACAGACAAAUGUCUGGGAAUGGCACACCUCAUGGGCUCAGUCACUCUCAGCCUGUCCCACUUCACCCUCUGUGGCUUCAUGGAUUUUGAAAAAGAUGGGUAAAGGAGAAGAAUCUCACAGCCUUCAACAAACUUUGGAUGAACCACAUCCAGAUCUGUCUCCUGCCCAUCAGCAAGUCUGGUGAAACCCCCUACAGCCUGGGCAGCAAGCAAGUGUGAAGGGCAGGAUAGAAGUGCUGCCAGCCUCAGGAUUCCUGAAUCAUGACUCAACAAUGAGGAGAUGCAAGAACCUAAAGGUUUGCUUGUGCCCCUAGAAGAAGAUGGACAAUAGUACUUGUUUGGCCAGCUCCUUGCCCACCCCCCUGCCUCAAGUCUCCUUGUUCUGUUAUCUGAAUGCUCUUCCUGCUCUUUGGUUCCUUAAUGAGCCUGGCACAGCUGGUUCUUUCCUAUCUCCACAUCCAGCACCCAGUGUUGUUACACCCCUCCUACCAUUUUUAGCUCCUCUUUUGCUCCUCGUUUCACUGGCUCCAAUGCUGCUGCUCUCUCCACAGCUCCCAAGACUAGCUGCUUGCUUUUUCAAAUAGUCUUCCCUCUCUCUAGGCCCUGCUUCCACUACAGCAAUCACUCUUGACUUCUAUAAUCCCAUGCACUCUGAUUUUCCAUCUAGUCAUGUUAUUCAGCCAGUCAAGGUUCUUUCCUCCCACUUCCAUCCUUUUGUUUUCCAGUAACUCCUGGCUUUAUCCUCACAACAGACAGUAUCAUAAAGCUCCUGGCCCUGAUCUGUUCUCCAUGUUUCCCUUCCCCAAGGGACUUGCUGUUCUCCUUUCACUCAGCUGCUCCUCCUUCCCCUGCCUGGCCCAGAGCAGUCACCAGAGGCUGGGUCCUUACACAAGAUGGCUGGCACUCACAAAACCUUAUGCCACCUUUGUGACACAGUGUUGACAGCAGAUCUUGGAAGAACUACACAGGGAAAAUCUCAAAUGUCCCUACAGAGCAUGUGUGAAAUGGAUUUUUUUUUUUUUAAGGCUUAUCAUUGAUCAAAAUUUGGCAUGGAUUUUUAUGGGGAUAGUGAGUAGUGUAGCUCUGACGUAAGGACAGCUCUCCUUCAUAGGUUUCAGCUUCCUCCUCCAAAGCAGUUGAGCAAAAGACUGUUCUUUUUAACGUACACUUUAACACUCAAAUCCAAAAUGUUUUGCUCUGCCUUUUUUUAUUUCUCCCUGAGUAGAUUUAAUGUACAGGCUGAAGCCAUAUUUAAAAAGAAAACAAAAAUUAUAAAAAAAUCAGAUGUAGGCAGACAGCCAGAAUAGAACAUUUCAGCUCCAAUCAUAAAAAUUACAAGCAACUGAAUGGUUUAGAGUAGGAAUGCCCAGUCUGUCUAAUUCCAUCUCUGCUGGUAAAUUUCUCCUUGCUAAAACCUGCACUUUGAACUUGCCACUCUGGGAUCAAU